UCAGGGACUAAAGCCGUUAUUACGGUGUG
rnacentral:piRNA from 1 species